UUUAAAGAGAGUUUGAUCCUGGCUCAGGACGAACGCUGGCGGCGUGCCUAAUACAUGCAAGUCGAACGAACGGAGGAAGAGCUUGCUCUUCCAAUGUUAGUGGCGGACGGGUGAGUAACACGUGGGCAACCUGCCUGUAAGUU
rnacentral:rRNA from 1 species